GAUUCCGUAGCUCAGUUGGUAGAGCAAUACACUUUUAAUGUAUGGGCCCUGGGUUCGAGUCCCAGCGGGAUCAC
rnacentral:tRNA from 2 species